UAUGUGAUCGUCUCUCGCAUAUCAAUAAGCGGAGGAAAAGAAACUAACAAGGAUUCCCCUAGUAACGGCGAGUGAAGCGGGAAGAGCUCAAAUUUGAAAUCUUAAAGGGUUUCCCUUUACGAAUUGUAGUUUAAAGAAGUGUUUUCUGUUGAGGUUUUGGUAAAAGUUCUUUGGAAUAGGACAUCAUAGAGGGUGAGAAUCCCGUAUUUGACCUUUACUUUCAACUUUGUGAUACACUUUCAAAGAGUCGGAUUGUUUGGGAAUGCAGUCCAAAAUGGGUGGUAAAUUUCAUCUAAAGCUAAAUAUUGGCGAGAGACCGAUAGCGAACAAGUACCGUGAGGGAAAGAUGAAAAGAACUUUGAAAAGAGAGUUAAACAGUACGUGAAAUUGUCAAAAGGGAAGCGUUUGACACCAGUGUUGUUUUUCUGAAAAUCAAUUAAAGAACUGUUUAUGCUAAGCUGUUUAGACUUUAUCAGCUAACUGUUUAGUUUUGAGCUUUUCUUUAAUGCACUUUUCAGUUAACAAGUCAACAUCAAUUUCUUUUGCUGUAAAAAAGCUUGAGGAAGGUGGCUUGAGAUUCGUCUUAAGUGUUUAUAGCCUCUUGCCUAUGCAGUCGGAGAGAUUGAGGUCUGCAGCGUAGAUCCUUCGGGGCUAAAUGCAUUUGUGCUAAGUUAUAGCAUUUUAUAGACAACCUGUUGACUAUGAUUUGUCUUGUAGCUUACUCGCUUAUGUUAUUUUACCUACGCUUAGGAUGUUGAGUAGCGACAUACGCAC
rnacentral:rRNA from 1 species